rnacentral:rRNA from 1 species
GAUGAACGCUGGCGGCGUGCCUAAUACAUGCAAGUCGAGCGAACAGACGAGGAGCUUGCUCCUCUGACGUUAGCGGCGGACGGGUGAGUAACACGUGGAUAACCUACCUAUAAGACUGGGAUAACUUCGGGAAACCGGAGCUAAUACCGGAUAAUAUAUUGAACCGCAUGGUUCAAUAGUGAAAGACGGUUUUGCUGUCACUUAUAGAUGGAUCCGCGCCGCAUUAGCUAGUUGGUAAGGUAACGGCUUACCAAGGCAACGAUGCGUAGCCGACCUGAGAGGGUGAUCGGCCACACUGGAACUGAGACACGGUCCAGACUCCUACGGGAGGCAGCAGUAGGGAAUCUUCCGCAAUGGGCGAAAGCUUGACGGAGCAACGCCGCGUGAGUGAUGAAGGUCUUCGGAUCGUAAAACUCUGUUAUUAGAGAAGAACAAAUGUGUAAGUAACUAUGCACGUCUUGACGGUACCUAAUCAGAAAGCCACGGCUAACUACGUG